rnacentral:rRNA from 1 species
CGAUAACGAACGAGACCUCAACCUGCUAAAUAGUACCGCUAAUGCUCCGGUAUUGGCUGGCGACUUCUUAGAGGGACUAUCGGUGUGUAACCGAUGGAAGUUUGAGGCAAUAACAGGUCUGUGAUGCCCUUAGAUGUUCUGGGCCGCACGCGCGCUACACUGAUACGUUCAUCGAGCUUACAACCUUGACUGAGAGGUCUGGGUAAUCUUUUGAAAUCGUAUCGUGCUGGGGAUAGAUUAUUGUAAUUUUUAAUCUUCAACGAGGAAUUCCUAGUAAACGCGAUUCAUCAGAUCGCAUUGAUUACGUCCCUGCCCUU